UUUACAUCCGGGAGACAUUUUUCUGGCUGGCUGCUUCGUUUUACAGUWGUAAYAAAGMYRCUCAGUUAUAUCUAGCUAAAUUAUUUUUAAAAAGGAAAAAUAUAUAUAUUGUGCAUAAUAUGUGCACGAAGUUUCUUUUGCUCAUAUUUCCAGUAAAUGUGACUAUUUAGAGCAAUAAAUUGUAUUUGCGCARUUUCACGUGGCAGCAGCGUGGCCACGAGGCAGGAGCUGAACCUGGAUGAAGUUUUAAUAAUGCAGUUGAGCUGCUCAAGAUUCGACUUCAGUGAAGAAAGUUUUCCUUUAAUGUUUGUUGUCUUGAAUAAAUGAUAUUCUAAUAAAAUAUUUCCACCUA